rnacentral:sRNA from 1 species
CUUUACUGUGAUUGGAAUUAGAAAGGCUUUCGAUAUAUGCCCCCUGGUGAAAAUCGACACAGCUCUAAUUAAAGCUGAUAACUUUCUGCUUGAAAAUACACUGCCAGCCCAGAGCACCUUUACAUUGGCCAUUUCUGCGUAUGCUCUUUCCCUGGGAGAUAAAACUCACCCACAGUUUCGUUCAAUUGUUUCAGCUUUGAAGAGAGAAGCUUUGGUUAAAGAUACGAGUCUCACUGUGUUUCCCCGGAUGAUCUCAAAUGCCUGGGCUCAAGCACUCCUACUGCCUCAGCCUUCCAAAGUGCUAGGAUCACAGGCAUGAGCCACCACACCUGUCCUCUAUUUAUUCCUUUAUUCAAUAAAUAUGCAUUGAGUAUCCUAUGUA